GCACCCGGCAGACCCUACAAUUUCCAGAAUGCAAUUCCAUUGAUAACUAUUAGCUCUCUUCUGUUGAUACUUUCAGUCCAUAUCGCUCAUGUAGUUAAUCUGAAUGAAUUUAAGAGUGGGUCGCGAGGGCUCGAUGUCACAACGCAACCUCGCCUCUGCUAUUUGCUUGCCACGCCAUUUGGUCCAGCUUGACCCGGAGUGGAUGGACAUCGAGUGUGGACUUGGCGCCGUCCCACCGACACACAGCUAGCUAGGCUAUCUACUGGAGAAGAGCGCGGCAUAAAGCGAAAGCCGCCCACAAAGACUGCCAGUACAGUGAGAUGACUUUCAAGGUGUUUGAUCUGUGGCCUGUAUGGAUGAACCAUGCCAGAGGGAAAGCCAGCCCGUUGGGAAAGGAAAGAGCCUUCAUCUUCAGAUGCGUCCAACGCCAACACACAAGCCGCCCAGCAUCAGCAGGAUGGUGCUGAGGAUGGGGAAGAGACUGGACGCACGCACAAUACCUGCCCACAUGAGAUGUUGAGAGAGAGGUUCUUUUCUGGUCAACAAAAGGAUGCUUAAUUGAAGGCUGAGUGUACAUGACUCAUCGUCAAUGCCGUUUCAUGUUAUUAGGGACAAAAAAGUUUCAGUAUUAGUCAUUUGUUUUCAGUUAUCUUACACAGUCAAAUCUGAGUUUUUGAGUUCUUUUUCAUAUGAUUCAGUUUUUGAUUGAAAUUAUCGGCUGAUAAUACUGUCAAUCGAUAUUAUCAGACAUCCCAAAUAUGAAUUUACCUUUGAUGUGCACAGUAUAUGUUAUUGCCAUGUUAUUAUUGCUACCAUAUUGUUGAGAUUGCCGAUUAUAUAUUACAUCACAAAAAAGACACCUUUGCUAGGUUUCUAUAUUGCAGAGGUGUCCAAAUGCAGUCCGAGGGCCAUUGGCGGCCUGCGCCGGCUGUUUUUUACUGGCCUGUGGCAAAUUCUAAAAAUGCAAAUUAACAAGAAAGCUAAAAAAAAAAACAGCAAAAAUGGAAAAAUUUGCAGUAAUUUUCCAAAACAAAGUCAAGAAAUUAAGAGAAAAAAGUUGAUAAUGUCAUAAUGACAAAAAAUAACGUCAUUUUAACAGUAAAGUUGAAACAUUUUUUAAAAGGAAAAAAAAAACAAAAUCAAAUUCUAAUUUUGGGGAAAUUAUGUUGGGAAAAAAGUUAUUAUAUCAUGGGAAUGAAGUUAUAAUAAAAAGAGCAGAAAUGGAAAAACAUCUGUAAUUUUAAGAGAAUAAAGUCAAAAUAUUAAGAGAAAAAUGUCGUAUUCUAAUGAGAUAAAAAUUUGCAAUUUUACAAGAAAAAACUCGUAAUAAAAAUAAUGUCAUUUUAGUAGCACUGAAUUAAAAUAUUAAAGAAAAAAUAUGUUAUUUUGGCCAAUUAUUAUUCAAAACAUACUGAAAGCCAAGUUAUACUGUACGUAGUAUUCUGGUCACAGGCAUCAGUAAUGUUAUAAGACAUGACGUUAGAUUGCAUUACUUUCCACACUGGAUGGUCAGCAGAGACAUGCCAUGGCUGAGAUCGAGUGAAAAAAAGGUUCUCCUCUCAUUGUGUGUGGAAGUGGUAAGAUUUUGGCUUGCUUGCCAUUCUUCCCCACUCUGUUUGAAACACCCUCUUAAGUUUAGAAUAAAUAAAUCGGAAAGGCUAACUAGUUUGCUUGGUAGCUUGCUAUGCUAGCGGUGGUCGUCUGUUCUGUCCCUGCAGUGAUCCCAUAGCCUGCGCAAUGUG